rnacentral:RNase_P_RNA from 1 species
GGCCGUCGGGCGGCCGCGCGCGCAAGCGUGAGGAAAGUCCGAGCUCCGCAGGGCAGGGCGCCGGGUAACACCCGGCGGGGGCGACCCCAGGGAAAGUGCAACAGAGAGAUACCGCAUGGCAACAUGUAAGGGUGGAAAGGCGAGGUAAGAGCUCACCCGCGGCAUGGCGACAUGUCCGCGCUGUAAACCCCGUCCGGAGCAAGAAACGAAAGAGCGUUUGAGACGGCCCGUCAAGCUCUCAGGAUUUCGCUGGAGCCCAUUCGGUAACGAUGGGACUAGAUAGAUGACCGCCGAAUACAGAACUCGGCUUACAGACA